rnacentral:rRNA from 1 species
GACGAACGCUGGCGGCGUGCCUAAUACAUGCAAGUCGAACGCUUCUUUUCCACCGAGUGCCUGCACUCACCGGAAAAGAGGAGUGGCGGACGGGUGAGUAACACGUGGGUAACCUGCCCAUCAGAAGGGGAUAACACUUGGAAACAGGUGCUAAUACCGUAUAACAAUCGGAACCGCAUGGUUCUGAUUUGAAAGGCGCUUUCGGGUGUCGCUGAUGGAUGGACCCGCGGUGCAUUAGCUAGUUGGGGAGGUAACGGCUCACCAAGGCAACGAUGCAUAGCCGACCUGGGAGGGUGAUCGGCCACACUGGGACUGAGACACGGACCAGACUCCUACGGGAGGCAGCAGUAGGGAAUCUUCGGCAAUGGACGAAAGUCUGACCGAGCAACGCCGCGUGAGUGAAGAAGGUUUUCGGAUCGUAAAACUCUGUUGUUAGAGAAGAACAAGGGUGAGAGUAACUGUUCACCCCUUGACGGUAUCUAACCAGAAAGCCACGGCUAACUACGUGCCAGCCGCCGCCGUAAGAC